CGAAGCGGGCUACUCGAUCAGCAGAGAGGGCGGUGGGCCUUUGGAAGAGACCGCCGCCUCCUUGCUGGUCGAGUAGCCCCGCAGG
rnacentral:pre_miRNA from 1 species